UAGAUUGUAGGCCCAUUGGA
rnacentral:miRNA from 1 species